UACGAAGGGGGCUAGCGUUGCUCGGAAUCACUGGGCGUAAAGCGCACGUAGGCGGAUUGUUAAGUCGGGGGUGAAAUCCUGGAGCUCAACUCCAGAACUGCCUUCGAUACUGGCGAUCUUGAGUCCGGGAGAGGUGAGUGGAACUCCGAGUGUAGAGGUGAAAUUCGUAGAUAUUCGCAAGAACACCAGUGGCGAAGGCGGCUCACUGGUCCGGUACUGACGCUGAGGUGCGAAAGCGUGGGGAGCAAACAGG
rnacentral:rRNA from 1 species